CGGCCGCCAAGGCGGCGGAGCUGGGUGCCGAGCGCUCUGUUCCGCCCGGCCGGCCAGCCAGCCUGAGAGCCGGGUGGGGGCGGGAGGAAAAGGGGAGGGCUGGGGGGCGGCGGCGGAAAGGGGCGAGCCCCUCCGGCCCGGCAGCGGGAAGAGCGGCCGCGGCGCCGGGCGAGCCCGGGAGGCGAGGCAGUGCCAUGCUGCCUUUGUGCAAAGUUGGGCGGCGGGCGGCGCGCCGCGCGCAGGGGCCCCGCACACCCGCGACCGCGCGCAGUCGUGGCUGCUGCUGAGUGGCGGGGGCCAGCGCGCCCCCCGCCCCCCGCUCCCCCAGCCCUUGAAGGCGGAGAGAGCUGGCGUCUCGCUCGGCUUCAGGGUAAGUCCAGCUGUGAGCAGGGCGUUCUGUUCUUCACUUCCAGCGAGCCAGAGUUUUAUAAAUGGACACUGACAUGGACUACGAAAGACCCAACGUGGAAACCAUCAAGUGCGUGGUCGUGGGAGACAACGCCGUGGGGAAGACGCGCUUGAUCUGCGCCAGAGCGUGUAAUACGACGCUGACACAGUACCAGCUGCUGGCCACCCACGUACCCACAGUGUGGGCCAUUGACCAGUACCGGGUCUGCCAGGAGGUCUUGGAGCGUUCCCGGGACGUCGUUGAUGAAGUGAGCGUCUCUCUCAGGCUUUGGGAUACUUUCGGCGAUCAUCACAAAGACAGGCGUUUUGCAUAUGGCAGGUCCGACGUUGUGGUCCUCUGUUUUUCGAUCGCUAAUCCCAAUUCCCUAAAUCAUGUGAAAACGAUGUGGUAUCAAGAAAUCAAGCACUUUUGCCCUCGCACACCUGUUGUUCUAGUUGGCUGCCAGCUAGAUCUCCGCUAUGCUGAUCUUGAGGCUGUUAAUAGAGCCAGACGCCCUUUAGCAAGGCCCAUAAAGAGAGGGGAUAUUUUGCCCCCAGAAAAAGGCCGAGAGGUUGCAAAGGAACUGGGCAUACCCUACUACGAAACAAGCGUAUUUGACCAGUUUGGAAUCAAGGAUGUGUUUGACAAUGCAAUCCGAGCCGCCCUCAUUUCCCGCCGGCACCUGCAGUUCUGGAAAUCCCACCUAAAGAAAGUCCAGAAACCUUUACUUCAGGCACCAUUCCUACCUCCAAAAGCCCCUCCACCGGUCAUCAAAGUUCCAGAAUGUCCCUCCACAGGGACGAACGAAGCCGCCUGUUUACUGGACAAUCCUCUGUGCGCUGACGUCCUGUUCAUCCUCCAGGACCAGGAGCGGAUCUUUGCACACCGGAUUUACCUUGCUACCUCCUCUUCCAAAUUUUAUGAUCUCUUUUUAAUGGAAUGUGAAGAAACCCCCCACUGGAGCGAAGGAGCUUGUGAGCAAGAGAAGCAGAGCAGGGAUUUCCAGGGGCGGCCCCUGAGUCUUGAUGCAGACGAGGAAAGGGAGGAGGGCACCCCAAGGACACCUCAGGCCGAUCAGUGGACGUCCUCAAGCCAGAACCUGUCCCAGCAGGAGACCCCGGGGCUGGAGGCCGAGGGCUCAGCGGCAGAGACACAGACCCUGUCAGGCUGGAGUAAGGGCUUCGUUGCCAUGCACAAGGAGAUGCAAGUCAACCCCAUUUCGAAGCGGGUGGGCCCCGUGACUGUGGUCAGGAUGGACCCAUCCGUCCAGCCAGGCCCUUUCCGGACCCUGCUCCAGUUUCUCUAUACGGGGCAACUGGAUGAAAAGGAAAAGGAUCUGGUGGGCCUGGCUCAGAUAGCAGAGGUCCUAGAGAUGUUUGAUUUGCGGAUGAUGGUGGAGAACAUCAUGAACAAGGAAGCCUUCAUGAACCAGGAGAUUACGAAAGCGUUUCACGUCCGGAAAGCCAACCGGAUAAAAGAGUGUCUCAGCAAGGGGACGUUCUCAGAUGUGACAUUUAAGUUGGAUGAUGGAGCCAUCAGUGCCCACAAACCACUGCUGAUCUGCAGCUGCAAGUGGAUGGCUGCCAUGUUCGGGGGGUCGUUCGUCGAAAGCGCCAACAGUGAGGUAUAUCUCCCGAACAUAAACAAGAUGUCAAUGCAGGCGGUACUGGAUUAUCUUUAUACCAAGCAGUUGUCACCUAACUUGGACCUGGACCCACUGGAACUAAUUGCUUUGGCAAACAGAUUUUGCCUGCCACACUUGGUUGCGCUUGCAGAGCAGCACGCUGUCCAGGAGCUGACCAGGGCCGCCAUGAGUGGCGUGGGCAUCGAUGGGGAAGUGCUCUCUUAUUUGGAAUUGGCCCAGGCACCACCCUAGACGAGAGGACAUGGAGAUACAAACACGGUAGAUUCUCUGCCCUUGGGGCCGUCCUAGGCCACUGAGGGAAACAGACACAAGCACAACUUAUUAAAAUCCAAUGUGAAAAACAACCUCACAGAGGUUCCAGUUAAAACUGAGAACAGACAUCAAUCACAAGUCAAAUCAGCAAGCCCCCAUCAACACUGUCCAAAUGGGAAUUUGGGGGUGUUUUGAAACAGGCCUGGAGGACAGCUUAUGACCUGUGCCCUCUCCAGUAAGUAUUCCUCCUCGAGAACAAUCAGAUGACCCAGAACUUCAUAUAGGGCCAGCCCACUUGAGGUAAUGAUUUACAGUUGUGUCUAUUUGUUUGCUGUGUAUUCCCACCCCGUGCCCUCCCCCGACCCCGCCCACACAUACACCCUGCAAAGAAAUAAUAUGAUUCCUGCUAAGCUCUGACAAGCCGUGGCAGGAAGAGUUUAGGACAGAGUCUCCCACAUCUUAGCUCAUUUGUUAGACCCUAACCCAAGGGGUAAGUAUUUAACAGUCAGCUUGGGGACAGGUGGGACCCUGAUCUGUUGCAUUUUCCAGUUUCUGGGGUGUAAAUACCCCUACCUGGCCAACUUUAACAACUUGAAGUCACCGAGCUCAGAGUACAGAAGGGAUGCCCCCCGUGAUGCUCUUAAGCAGGUACAAGCCAACGCCAGUACUGCACUGCCCUGCUCUGACUUGCAGAAGGAAAUCUGUUAUCAAGAGAAGUUGGAAGCACCUGCUAGAAUUGUCUGUCAUGUUGGGCUUGUGAUCUGCAGAGAGUUUCUUGAGUUAGUUUCUGAGGGCGUUGGCUUUUCUCUUGGCCUCUGUUGAGGGCACUGAUGGGGGGCCCUGGAGGAAGCGCACUGUAGGUUUCAGGGGUUCACCUGCUCAAAGAAACUUCAAGAGCAACAGACAACAGAAUGGAUGUCUGAAAGGGGCCUGGACAGAAAGAGUGAGGGAUGGGGGGACCUGCCAAAUUGGGGGAGGGAAUGGGGAGUGGACUGUGGAUUUUUGAGCAUCGGGUGUUUUGCAGUCACGGCUUCCUCAGCUGCCACUGUCCUGAGCAUCUGCUCAGAAAGGAGAGGGUGGAUCGAGGGUCUGGAUCCCUCCGUCCCCACCCACACUGCCUGCUCUUCUUAUGUAACCAGAGGACAGGCAGAGGACAGGCACACAUGCUGCGUGCUCCUGCACUGAUCUUUCAUGCUCCUGUUUUAGAUCUCUGGCCCCAGCCACCUGAGCUUCGACAUGCAACACGGCGGAUUCUGUUGCCGAGGCUCCUUAAACAGAGAUGACAUCGCUGCUUUCUCCUGUGGUCUGGUGCCUUCCAGAGGCCACGGCCACUUAUCAUUAGAGGGCAGGUGGAAGGGGAGAAGAGGAGGGCAAGGCAUACUUUAGACUCCUGAUCUGAUACAGUGAUUAUUUUUAGCGCACAUAUCCCCGGGGGGGGGGGGGGCGGGGAGGAGUGUGCCGAACGCUUACACGUGGCUGGCGUCCGAACCAUGGGCAGAGUCAAAACCCUGUAGUCAAAACAAGAGGUUUCCGAAUUAGUCAUCUGGGCCCUUUAUUUCUUUGACCCGUCCCGUGGCUUUUUCUUUCUUUGUAGCCCCACUUUAGAAAACAGAGUCUGACCCCCUUUUGGUCACUUCCCUGCAGUUUCACAAUGCCCACCAGUUGGCCGCCUGGUGUUUGCACCACAUCUGCACCAACUACAACAGUGUUUGUUCCAAGUUCCGCAAGGAAAUCAAAUCGAAAUCUGCAGACAACCAGGAAUACUUUGAGCGGCACCGCUGGCCCCCCGUGUGGUACCUGAAGGAGGAAGACCACUACCAGCGUGUGAAAAGGGAAAGAG